GACGAACGCUGGCGGCGUGCUUAACACAUGCAAGUCGAACGGAAAGGCACUACUUUUGUGCGCUGCUCGAGUGGCGAACGGGUGCGUAACACGUGUGUAACCUGCUCUAGACUUUGGGAUAACUUCAGGUAACUGGGGCUACUAUCGGAUCGCAGACCCUGUUGCAUGGUAGGCGUUGGAACGUCGCGGCGGUUGGGGAUGGACUCGCGGCUUAUCAGUUUGUUGGUGGGGUAGUGGUUUACCCAGGAUUUGACGGGUCGCCGGCCUGUGAGGGUGACCGGCCACAUGGGGACUGAGAGACGGCCCAGACUCCUACGGGAGGCAGCAGGCGGGAAUAUUGCACAAUGGUCGGGAGCCGGAUGCGGCGACGCCGCGUGCGGGAUGACGGCCUUCUGGUUGUAAACCGCUUUCGCCUGUGACGAAGCGUGAGUGACGGUAAUGAGUAAAGAAGCACCGGCUAACUACGUG
rnacentral:rRNA from 1 species